GAGGAUAUAGCUCAGCGGUAGAGUGCCAUGCUUAGUAUGCAUGAGUUUCUGGGUUCAAUCCCCAGCGCCUCCA
rnacentral:tRNA from 1 species